GCAACAACAGUAGCAGGCGCAGCAGUAGCAGAUUACAUCGAAGACGAAGGAGUCAUU
rnacentral:sRNA from 1 species